AUUGAACGCUAGCGGGAUGCCUUACACAUGCAAGUCGAACGGAGUGGCGAACGGGUGAGUAAUGUAAAGGAAAGUGCCCAGUAGCGGGGGAUAACUACGAGAAAGCGUAGCUAAUACCGCAUACUAUUGGAGCGGCCGAGAUCGGAUUAGCUAGUAGUUGGGGUAAAGGCUCACCAAGGCGAAGAUCCGUAGCUGGUUUGGGAGGAUGACCAGCCACACUGGGACUGAGACACGGCCCAGACUCCUACGGGAGGCAGCAGUGGGGAAUUUUGGACAAUGGGGGAAACCCUGAUCCAGCCAUCCCGCGUGUGCGAUGAAGGCCUUCGGGUUGUAAAGCACUUUUGGCAGGAAAGCGGUACCUGCAGAAUAAGCACCGGCUAACUCCGUGCCAGCAGCCGCGGUAAUUC
rnacentral:rRNA from 1 species